UACGGAGGAUCCGAGCGUUAUCCGGAUUUAUUGGGUUUAAAGGGUGCGCAGGCGGGAGAUUAAGUCGGCGGUGAAAUUUUGCAGCUCAACUGUAAAAGUGCCUUCGAUACUGGUUUCCUUGAGUGUGGAUGAAGUAGGCGGAAUUUGUGGUGUAGCGGUGAAAUGCUUAGAUAUCACGAGGAACUCCGAUUGCGCAGGCAGCUUACUAAACCACUACUGACGCUCAGGCACGAAGGCGUGGGGAUCAAACAGGAUUAGAUACCCCCGUAGU
rnacentral:rRNA from 1 species